rnacentral:rRNA from 1 species
GGGCGUAAAGCGAGCGCAGGCGGAAAAAUAAGUCUAAUGUGAAAGCCCUCGGCUUAACCGAGGAACUGCAUCGGAAACUGUUUUUCUUGAGUGCAGAAGAGGAGAGUGGAACUCCAUGUGUAGCGGUAAAAUGCGUAGAUAUAUGGAAGAACACCAGCGGCGAAGGCGGUUACCUGGUCUGUAACUGACGCUCAGGCACGAAAGCGUGGGGAGCAAAUAGGAUUAGAUACCCUAGUAGUCCACGCCCUAAACGAUGAGUACUAGAUGUUGGAAUUUUCAGUGUCACAGCUAACGCAAUAAGUACUCCGCCUGAGGAGUAUGCACGCAAGUGUAAAACUUAAAGGAAUUGACGGGGCCCCGCACAAGCGGUGGAGUAUGUGGUUUAAUUCGACGCAACGCGAAGAACCUUACCAGGCCUUGACAUCCCCUGCAAAACCAUAGAGAUAUGGCAGAGGUUAUCAGGGUGACAGGUGGUGCAUGGUUGUCGUCAGCUCGUGUCGUGAGAUGUUGGGUUAAGUCCCGCAACGAGCGCAACCCCUAUGUUCAGUAGCCAGCAGGUAAGGCCGGGCACUCUGGACAGACUGCCGGGGAUAACCCGGAGGAAGGCGGGGAUGACGUCAAAUCAUCAUGCCCCUUACGGCCUGGGCUACACACGUGCUACAAUGGCGUAAACAAAGGGAAGCGAGAGGGUGACCUGGAGCGAAUCCCAAAAAUAACGUCCCAGUUCGGACUGUAGUCUGCAACCCGACUACACGAAGCUGGAAUCGCUAGUAAUCGCGAAUCAGCAUGUCGCG